rnacentral:rRNA from 1 species
UACGGGGGGGCAAGCGUUGUUCGGAAUUACUGGGCGUAAAGGGCUCGUAGGUGGCCAACUAAGUCAUACGUGAAAUCCCUCGGCUUAACCGGGGAACUGCGUCUGAUACUGGAUGGCUUGAGGUUGGGAGAGGGAUGCGGAAUUCCAGGUGUAGCGGUGAAAUGCGUAGAUAUCUGGAGGAACACCGGUGGCGAAGGCGGCAUCCUGGACCAAUUCUGACACUGAGGAGCGAAAGCCAGGGGAGCGAAACAG